rnacentral:lncRNA from 1 species
GUUUUGGUGAUGGUGAUGUGUUUGUAGAUCUUACUUUACUAAACAUUCUUGCUGCUUACAAUCAUCUCUAUCUAUAACAGUACUUUCUGUGGAAAAUGUUAUUGAAAAUCUUCAAAUUUUAUGAAAAUUGUUAAAAAUUGACUAUGAAGGGCAAUAACUCCUUAGGGGGUCAAUUGACUAUUUUGGUAAUAGUGAUUUAUUUUUAGUUCUUACUUUGCUGUACAUUAUUGCUGUUUACAGUUUAUCUCUAUCUAUAAUAAUAUUCAAGAUAACAAAAAAACAGCAAAAUUUCCUCAAAAUUACAAAUUCAGGGGCAGCAACCUAACAACCGAUUAUCCGAUUCAUCUGAAAAUUCCAGCGCAGAU